UACAGAGGGUGCAAGCGUUGUUCGGAAUUAUUGGGCGUAAAGCGCGUGUAGGCGGCUUUGCAAGUCGGGUGUGAAAGCCCUCGGCUCAACCGAGGAAGUGCGCCCGAAACUGCAGAGCUUGAGUGCCGGAGAGGAUGGCGGAAUUCCCCAAGUAGAGGUGAAAUUCGUAGAUAUGGGUAGGAACACCGGUGGCGAAGGCGUCCAUCUGGACGGUAACUGACGCUGAGACGCGAAAGCGUGGGGAGCAAACAGG
rnacentral:rRNA from 1 species